AUUGAACGCUGGCGGCAUGCCUUACACAUGCAAGUCGAACGGCAGCGCGGACUUCGGUCUGGCGGCGAGUGGCGAACGGGUGAGUAAUACAUCGGAACGUACCCUGUUGUGGGGGAUAGCUAGUCGAAAGGUUAGCUAAUACCGCAUACGACCUGAGGGUGAAAGUGGGGGACCGCAAGGCCUCACGCAGCAGGAGCGGCCGAUGUCUGAUUAGCUAGUUGGUGGGGUAAAGGCCCACCAAGGCGACGAUCAGUAGCUGGUCUGAGAGGGCGAUCAGCCACACUGGGACUGAGACACGGCCCAGACUCCUACGGGAGGCAGCAGUGGGGAAUUUUGGACAAUGGGGGCAACCCUGAUCCAGCAAUGCCGCGUGUGUGAAGAAGGCCUUCGGGUUGUAAAGCACUUUUGUCCGGAAAGAAAUCGCGCUGGUUAAUACCUGGCGUGGAUGACGGUACCGGAAGAAUAAGCACCGGCUAACUACGUGCCAGCCGCCGCGGUAA
rnacentral:rRNA from 1 species